rnacentral:lncRNA from 15 species
UCUGGAUUAUCCCAGGACAGAGGACACAGCACACAGCAGUGAGGGGCAGAGGCUUUGUGAAAUGUCCUGAUGUCUGGUGGAGGAUGAACUGAUGUUCACAACGUGACACUAAUGAAAGUCAUGAAGAGAGAUGUUGGUGAAUCGGCGCUGCAGAGACCCAAAUGUGUUUAAUCUGGAGGCGGCAAAAACUUGGGCCUGACAGGAAGUGACACCUGAGCAAGUGGAUAAAUCAAACUGGUAACAUUUUCACUGUGAAUAUAAUGGAAUAACUACCAAUCACUGGAGGAAGUGGAGACUGGGAAUAUGGAGAGCUUUAACUACACAGGCGAAGGCGGACUUUCAUUCCAGUACUUGGUCCAUAAUGUGGAGCCACUUUAUACGGAGUACAAGCCUCCUCCCAGGGACCUCAUCCAGCUCCCUAAAUCAGUUCUCUACCUCGUGAUGGCCGCCCUGGUCGUUGUUGCUGUGGCUUACGCCAUCGUGGGUCACCUCAUUAAAGACCUCAUGCUGGAUAUAACAGACUGUUUGCUGGGCCCACCCGAUGAGGACAUGACAAAAGGCGGCGAGGGGGAAGGAGUCAGCCCUCUGCACAUACCACCUGCCCUUAGCCACUCCCACCCAAAUGCCUUCCAUGUGUGGGACCAGGACGAUGUCAUCAUCCCCAUGACUCCCCUGCAUGAUACCGAGCUGACCAGCCCUCUGAUGACCGUCAUCCCGUACAUCCCCUCAUUUUUCCCCACCUCCCUCAGUGUCAACACCCCGUCCUACAACCUGCCACUCCCAAAGGAGAGUGAUGCAUGA